UACGGGGGGAGCAAGCGUUGUUCGGAUUUACUGGGCGUAAAGGGCGCGUAGGCGGCCAGCACAAGUCAGUUGUGAAAUCUCCGAGCUUAACUCGGAAAGGUCAACUGAUACUGUGCGGCUAGAGUGCGGAAGGGGCAACUGGAAUUCUUGGUGUAGCGGUGAAAUGCGUAGAUAUCAAGAGGAACACCUGCGGCGAAGGCGGGUUGCUGGGCUGAUACUGACGCUGAUGCGCGAAAGCCAGGGGAGCGAACGGG
rnacentral:rRNA from 1 species